UGGAGUUUGUCUGAUCACCUGAUCACUGACAGGAACAUGUGAACCUUAAAGCAGAGAGUUUUGUUUCAGUCAGUAAGAAGAGCGAGUCAUCAUGCACAACAACGAUAAAUCAAGUCUUUGAAGCAAAGAGAAAGCUUCCAUUUGAAACGAGGAGACAUUAGGAGUAUGUAUUUGAUUGUUUAUAAUAUUUUACUCUAUCAGUGUGUUUAUGUUAUAGUGUGUUUGCUUCUAUUUUAUUUGAAUCUUUUUUCUUUAUGGAUUCAAAGGCAGCAGCUGUAUAAAUAAAAUAACUGAGUGUUAGUCUGUUACUGGGUGCAAAGUAUAAAGCUACUGUGUUUGUACAGUGAGAUUGAACAACAGUAAUAUGAGCAAAAUUGUUUGUUUCUCCAGAUUUCUGAUCAACGAUCAGUUUAGGAGGUUUUUCCUUUCUGGGUGAAAAUCUAAAGUUUUAAUGUUAUGUGUAAAAUGUUGUGGGUUCAACGGUCAGUGCCUGGGAGGCUGGCAGGGCAGCUGGGACCAGUAGAGUGGUUAUGCUUGCCCUAUUUAACAGUUUGCUGGAGCCUGAGGGGGAGAGCAGAGGAGUACUGAGCUGUAGAGAGUUGAGCUGAAUAAGCUGCCGCUAAGACGCUGUCAGUCUGGGUCCUUGUUACACAGUGUAAUAAUCAGUAUCAUGAACAGGAUCAGAUGCUGUAAUGAGUGAAUGAAGUCAGACUGUAGAUUUUCCUUCUUCGAGCUGUACUGACUGACCUUUGACCUCAUGUGUUGAUGACUCUUCACCUCUGUCUCCUCUCACAGAGAGAAGAUGAUGUGCAGGAUCCUGCUGCUCAUCAUCCUCACCUCAGGUGUCUCUGGUUAGUUUACAGCUUCACUUUAUGAACUCCAAAUAAAGCUCAACAACAGAUUUGUUCCAGUUCUCAGUGUGUCUGCUCCUCUCUUUCCCUCUCUGUCUCCUCAACAGGAUCAUUUGUAGUCAAUGUGACACAGACCUCCUAUCAGGCAGAGGAGAACCACAACAUCACACUGGAGUGGACGUUCACCACCAAACCUGACAGAUCCACCAAAACUCUCAACAUCCUCUGUGAACUGUUUAUCAGUAAUAAUAAUGUUUCAGUCUUGUAUCAUGUUCAUGAAGGUGUUGAGGUGUCAGAGUCUCAGGAUGCAAAGUUUUCAGGACGAGUCCAGAGUGACAAAGAUGCCCUCAGAGAAGGACGAAUCAGACUUCAACUGUCCAGACUCAGGACUGAUGACUCGGGUCUGUACCUGUGUGAGGUGAACACUGAUUAUGGCUUCAGUGUUGGAAGAUGUCGACUCAACGUCACUGCAGCUGCUGCUGAGACCAAACAUCAAACACCAACAAUGAACCCACAGACAGAGAGUCGAGGAAGCAUCUGUUGUUUGUUUUUGGGUGGCAUGUACACCUAUGAACCUAUAUAUCUAUCUGCACUGAAGAUAUAUGCUGUAACCUUCAUGUAGACUCUUAAGCACAAGUCGUUUUGCCUUCACCAGGGUUUAUUAAGGUGGUACAGUAACAGGGCAGUUAAUGUAAGGGGAGAGUUCUCCACUGUCCAACUUCCCCAAAGUACACACUCAACGUCUUGGAUACAUGCAGCACAACCAAAACAUUCAAUUUUUUCAAUUCAGUUUUAUUUAUAUAGCGCCAAAUCACAACAGCAGUCGCCUCAAGGUGCUUUAUAUUGUGCAGUAGAUCGUACAAUAAUAAUGCACAAUAAUAAAACAUGUUUCUUUAAAAACAGCAACAAUGCGACAGAAGUAAUAAACACAUCACAAUAAAAUCGCCUUAAAUAUCAUUAAAAUACUAUAUAGUUAUAUAUAAACACAUAUACUAUAAACCUAAACUGGAAUGUUUUCAUAUAUGAGAAUUACCAUGUUAAGCCUGUAACCUAUGUAAUUAGGUCAAGUAUUAUUCACAUGUAUAUCAUAAGAUAAUGCCACUUGCUGUGUGAGCACCUGUUGUUCUGUACUGCUUGUUUAAAGAUUUAAUAAUUAGGAUUAAUGUUUGACUAUUUUGUGACCUAUUGUGAUGAGGCAAAGCAAAGGGUUAGUCAAAGGUUGCCCAUCUGCAGAUGGCCCUUAGCCAGAGUCCUGACCAGCCCCUGGCCGGCUGUUUUUGGCUAGAGGACAAGUGGGAAGUUACCCAGCAGCAGGGGCGGGGUUACUGGCCCCUAUAAAGGGGGGUCAGAGGAGACCGGGGCUCUUCUCUUUCUAUCUGUCUCUGAGUGGCUCUGCUGUCUGUGCUUAUGGCUCUACAUCCUGGGGUUUGCUUUGCUAUGUGUUUUCUUGCUGUUCUGUUUAUGUACUUUCUUGCUUUUCAUAUGAUUCAGUGCAUUAAACUCUGUUCCACAGGAUCUUUGUGAGUGAAUUGAUUUUAAUUUGAUCUAAAAAAAACAAACAAACAAACAAACUUGAUCUCCAUAUCAUUGGUGGGAUAAGGUUAUCACGUUGGCUUCAAAAUUUGUGACCUGACAGAGUGUGUUUCUCAACUCAAACCAAGAAGUCUGUGCUGCAUCUUGUGGUCCAGCUUUGGCCCUUUUCCACUAACAGAAGUCAAAAAGUUGUGGUUUUUCAGUCCUGUUUGAUCAGGUCGACUCCUCAACUGGCUCCCCACAGGGAUUUGCACUCUGGCACUUCUUAUUUAUCCUACACACAAAUAUGUGGCAGGGGGCGGUAACACCACCUUGUACCUGCUUACAGUCAUUGGGUAUUUAUUCGAGAGUAAGGCAUAAGCCGACACAACAGAUCUGUGGUGUGUUUCAUCAAGAAUAAGUAGGACAUGAACUUUGAACUCUCCUGUGUGCAAAGUUUGUAUGAAGUGUGUCAAAUGAGCCGGAGACCAGGUUUGUGUUUCACUCAGCUGAUUUAAAACCUCCUCUCAGGCUCACUGCAUUACAAAAACAAAGAUUACUUUCUGAUUUUAAAUAUCUUCAUGGUUCAUGGAGAAAUCUUGUGUUGAGUUCGAGUCUUUGUCCAGAAUGUUAAUUUGUCUUUAAUGAGUCUACUUCCUGUGAGCUUUGUUAGUCCUGUUAGCUUAGUUUUGAUAUAAAUGUAUGCAUUGUUCUGGGUGUGUGUGACAUUAAUGUAAAUGAUGUUUUUGUGUUGUUUGUAUGCAGUGUGUAAAAAGAAUAAAGUGUGUGAAACCAGAAGAUUGUUAAAUUACCCCAAUUCUUUGAUCUUUAGGCUAAAUUCUCUUUAUUCCAUACAAACACUUUAUACAAAAGCAUUA
rnacentral:lncRNA from 1 species